GAUGGGGGGUUUGAUCAGGGGGAGUGGGGGGCCUGGGGGAGGAAGGGUAGGAGAGAGACUAGACCUGGGGGCUUGUCUGGGUAAAGCUGCGUGGACUUGCCCGCAGGAACCCGGGAGGCGCGUGGCCUCUUGCCCCGCCGAAGAUGGGGCUCUUGGCUUCUGGGAGGGCGUCACCCCGACGUGAACCCGCCGAACCCUCAGCGCCCUGGCGUGUGGACGCAGCGAGGCAGGGAGAACCCGAGGUUCUCCGCACCCCAGAUGGAGACGAGACAGCUUGGCGGUUGAUCCCCUGCAGUGGGGUGUUGGGCCGGGCUUGGGGGGCAGACUUUAGCCUUGGGGAGACCAGCAGCCCCCUUUUUUUGCAGACCGAGGGUCGUGAGCUCGCCUGGCGACGCGGCCUGGAAACAGCUUGGCCUCGCGGGCUGAGUGCUCUGGUCUUAGGUGGUGGCAGUGUUUCCCCCCAUGUCGGGACGCUCUGGGUGCCUGUUUAGCCUCUCCUGUGACCCCCUCUGCCCCUCCUCCCUCUAGCCCUUCACUUUAACCUUGCUCUGGUCACUGGUAAGCUGGGAAAGCCGUCCAGGACGCUGUUGGAGUCAGCGCUGUUGGUAACGGUGACGGCGAGCUGAGACUGGCACGGGGAGCCAGGGGGGUGGGGGUUGUUGGGUGGGUCACCGCAGAUGGUGGCCCCAGAAGUUACCAAAAUGCUUCAUGGACGUGGUUUGUUACCAUAGUGCUCAUCCCAGCGACCCGAUGGCACCAGGAGACAGUGGAGGCCCUGGCCCGUAUGAGUCGUAGCAGUGCAGGAGGGGAGUCCCAGGAGCAGAGCGCCGGCCUAAGUUGCUGCCUGCACGUUGCAACCCAGAGGCUUAGGAGGAAGUUCUCCACGGUCCGGUUUCCAGGCCUGGCAGUUUUCAGGAGGGCGCCAUUGAAAGUUUGCAGAUGGGCUUUGAGGGGCAGUCGUGGAAGGCCGCUGCAGCAGAUGUGUGUUGAAUGAUCCAGGAGCACCACCCUCUGGGCGUCUGAUGCCAGCAGCCCCCACCGCCCUUUCUGGGGUGGAGGUUUUCAGAUGCUGCGUCUUCUAAGUUGAGCCUCCUAUCCUAGUUCUGUGCUACCGACAGCUUCCUAGAAGAUUCUGCAGCUGUAGGACAUUUAACCUUGAUGACACCACCCCGAGCUGCAUGAAUGGUAGAUGGAGAUUGCGGUGGAGCCCAGUGAUCCUUUCUCAUCCACGGCGCCCGCAGAGGAACGAUUAGUGUCACCAUACAGUUGAUGUGAUGGGACAGGGAUGGGGUUUGGGGUGCCUGAGGCAGAGGCUCGUGUGAUUUGCAAAUGGGAACAGGGUAGUGUUGCUAGGUAGUCGAUGUCCAAAUUGUUAGCGAUGGAAGGUCAGGGCGGGAGAAAAUGAGCUUGAAGGGUAGAGCUUAUUUUGUAUAUUGGGCCACCAGGGGUUGAUCCCAGGCACCAACCGGUUCACCCCAGCAAUGCUGGGUGUGGCUGUAAAACAGCUGCCGCCAAAAACUACAGGAAGAAAUGGCGGUCUUGGGCGGGCACUUCCGGCCCUCUCCAGAUCAGGGCGAAUGCUCGGGGUGUCGCUGGGCUUGGGUUCAUCUCUUGCUUUUUGAAGCCUGAAUUUUACUUGAUUAGAUCUCAGCCAUCGUUGUUUGAACGGGAAGAUGGCGCGGUGAAGAUUCUAUAGGGUGGAAGAAGGAACAACUUGGUACUGGGAGGGCAUGGGGUGAAGAUUCACGGCGGAGGGUGGGGUGGUUGGGGAGGCUUAACAGGAAUUGGAGAAAAGUUCAGUUAGGGCAAACUGGAGCUGAUGGACAAGAGAGAAGUUGAUGCUGGUCAUUGUUAAUAGUCAAAUUCCAGCAUGGAUUCACAGAGCUUAAUCAGAAGCUGAGUGCUUAGAACCCUGCUAAAUGCAGGGCGGAAAGCAAAAUUGCUUUGCUGCAAGGCGGAAGAGACUGAUUAGGUGUAACUGAAAAUCUCUGUCAGUUUCUUGAGGGGGUGUCAGAAACUUGCGCCCCAGUAAACGCCAUUCGCUGGACUGAACCCCUGUGCUUCAUCUGAAGUUGCACGGGGUCAGAUUGCACCCAAAUUGUGGGCUCUGACAGUAUGUAGUUUGCACUCUUAGGGUGCUCUUUCGAUGAGGCGCACUCUUCUGAGCUUUUGACUCAUCUUUAUUAGCUUGAGAUUGUGACUGAGAUUCUGAGCCAUAUGUAUGACUAACAAGUAAUUUCAUGUGAUGCGUUGGGUCUUAAAAACAUCUGGGCGUUGGUCAGCACGGAUUAUAGCCAAGUUUUUGUUUAUUGCUGAUAGUCAUUGUAACAAGGAGCAGCAAAUAAGCUUUUAUGGCCUCUAUAAAAUGACUAAUAAUUUGGUAGCAAGCAGUCCAUACUCUCUUGCUAAGACUGGCUAUUUCUUUAGCUCGAACAUGCUUUAAAUGAUGCAAUAUUAGAGAACAUCUGUCUGCCAAAAUCCGUUUGGGAAAUAAGCAAAUUGAGGAUGGGUGGAGUGCCUUUUCUGAAUCUGUUCUGUUUGUAAAACUUCGGGAAAAUUUCAAACUGCCUAAUACGAGUAUUUGUUUCAAAAAUCUGAAAAUGUUUAAUGGGAGUACUUGUUUCUGAGGAGUCUAAUGAAUUAGUACCGGAAUAUCACUGAUAAGCUGGGAUUGUACUUAAACUUUGUUAAUGAGCCGAUUGCUUUUGGGGUUUUGUUUGGUUCUAAACAUUUAUUUUAAGAUAUGUUAUCUGGAAAUGCCUCACCAUGACCUGGGGAUGAUGACUUUGCAAGGGCGUUUCAGCAGUAUUAGUCAUGCUGUGUGGGGAAAGGUCCCCGUGCCCUUGUGAAAUGCAACUUUGAGCGUAAACACGGGCGGUAAAAAUACUUGUAUGUUGCUCUGUAUGAUGGGAACCUGUACUGUUGCAUCAUGUAUGUGAUUACUAAUCAUUUCCUUCCCCUUCACAGCACAAAUAAAGGUUUGAGCUCUCAUUA